UAACAUUUUAUGCAUGAGGGCACAACGCAAUGUUUGUAAUAACGAGCCAAUAACGAACAAUAGCAACAGUACUGCAAUUAUCAGUAGACUGCAUACAUAUGUGGUGAAAAGACUACUCUCUUGUGUUCCAUACAUUAUACUGAACCGCUUUAAUUUGUGCAACUAAAUUUCAAUGCGGACUGUGCUAUAAAAAAGGUGUCUUUGUACGUCUUUUUCUUCUCAAGUGGAAACAUAUGCGUUGUAUACACACAGUGAAGUGAAAAUUCAAAGUGAAUCACAUUCGAUUACGAUGUUCUAUUGUGUAAAACAAGGUUAAGGAGAAAAAAUGGAACAGAUAUUUAAGAAGGUGAAACUGUACGAUAUUUCGGAAAUUUAAAAAGAGCAUGGUACAUAUUCCGAAAGUUUGAAGCAGAAAGUGGAGAAACACGAAAUCUGUAAAAAUGUUCAAUUGUUGGUGUUCUAACACUAAUAAGAUAAGACAUAUUUAUUCUAAUAAUAUGUAAAUACAACUUUAAAGAUGACCAUAUGGUAGUCGUUGCAACUUUAAAUAAAAUAUUUAAAAAGCUUUAAAGUAUAUUGCUUAAA
rnacentral:misc_RNA from 1 species